AACAGUGGCGUGCUGGCAGGGGGGGCCGGGGGGCCACGGCCCCCCCAGCUGGCAAUUCUUGGGGGGCGCAAAAAUGAAAAAGGGGCGCCGAAUUUUGAAAGUGGGUCGGAAAAAACGCAUUCUCGAAAAAAUAUGGUUACUUCCGCCAAGAAAAGACGUGUUUAUAGGCUACAGUAUAAAACAGACUAAGCGCAUUGGCGACAUAUAUUAAAUUACAGACUAUUUUGCCUAACCGUAUUUGCUACCUCACAGCUCACACGAAAUCGUUCAUAUAGAAACAUGAUCAGUGAUCACAGGCAAUGUCUCGUUACCGGAAUAUUGGUCAGGUUUCAAUCGAAGCGAUCACGAGAAUUAUGCCCUUUUUUCUGG